rnacentral:rRNA from 1 species
UACGUAGGGGGCAAGCGUUGUCCGGAAUCAUUGGGCGUAAAGCGCGUGUAGGCGGUUCGGUAAGUCUGCUGUGAAAGUCCAGGGCUCAACCCUGGGAUGCCGGUGGAUACUGUCGGACUAGAGUACGGAAGAGGCGAGUGGAAUUCCCGGUGUAGCGGUGAAAUGCGCAGAUAUCGGGAGGAACACCAAUUGCGAAGGCAGCUCGCUGGGACGUAACUGACGCUGAGACGCGAAAGCGUGGGGAGCAAACAGG